GGAGCCUAGCUGCUGCUCAACACUGAUCUCUUCUCUCUCCCAGGCUCCCUCUCUGCUGAGGCUGACGACCUGGUCUGGCCUCACAUCUGGGGGAGGAGCAGAGUCUCCUGCCAAGGACAGGCCCUCCUGAAGCUUGGGCAACAUAUGAACUUCUCAACUCGGCCCUGCCUGUCUCUUCUCUGGUUCAUGUUCUCCUCCGCCUCCGUGGGCGUGGAAAGGGCUCAGUGGCUACUUGACAGCACGCUGUGUCAUUUUGGAGCACUGCUCAGUUCUGGUUUAUGGUGGUGCUGUGGAUUGAACCCGGACCUUUGCCACCUCAGACAUGAGAGCUUCUUGGAAGACAAACAGAGAGACAGAAGGAGGAAGAAGGAGAGAGAGUGCAGCACUGGGGGAAGCUCCGGCCCAUGAGGAAUGUUCUAGAACAGGAGAGCCAAGCCCUGCUAGGAGCAGUGUGCACUGGCUGUGCU